UGGGGAAUCUUGGACAAUGGGGGCAACCCUGAUCCAGCCAUGCCGCGUGAGUGAUGAAGGCCUUAGGGUCGUAAAGCUCUUUCGCCUGUGAAGAUAAUGACGGUAGCAGGUAAAGAAACCCCGGCUAACUCCGUGCCAGCAGCCGCGGUAAUACGGAGGGGGUUAGCGUUGUUCGGAAUUACUGGGCGUAAAGCGCACGUAGGCGGACCAGAAAGUUGGGGGUGAAAUCCCGGGGGCUCAACCCCGGAACUGCCUCCAAAACUAUUGGUCUAGAGUUCGAGAGAGGUGAGUGGAAUUCCAAGUGUAGAGGUGAAAUUCGUAGAUAUUUGGAGGAACACCAGUGGCGAAGGCGGCUCACUGGCUCGAUACUGACGCUGAGGUGCGAAAGUGUGGGGAGCAAACAGGAUUAGAUACCCUGGUAGUCCACACCGUAAAACGAUGAAUGCCAGUCGUCGGGGUAGCAUGCUAUUCGGUGACACACCUAACGGAUUAAGCAUUCCGGCCUGGGGAGUACGGUCGCAAGAUUAAAACUUAAAUGAAUU
rnacentral:rRNA from 1 species